UUUUUGAAGUUUUGUUGGUGAAAAAGAAUGCUAAAAAAUAUUGAGUGUUAAUUUUGACUUCGAUACCAUUUUGAUAAUGGAUAUUCGAGAUUCUUUGUCUUUUAACUGUUACUUUGAAGAUCAUCUCACAAAAAAGUUUAGUUAUAAAAUGGGUACGAUGCUACCAGUUGGAUUUUCGUUGAUUUUGACUUCCAUAUAAAAAAUAUUGAGUGUUGAUUUUGACUUCCAUACCAUUUUGAUAAUGAAUAUUCGAGUGUGUUGUGCUUAAUCUGCCUAUCUUAAAAGCUCAAUAUAUGUAUGGUAAAAUGCUUCGAAAGCUUAAUUGUUUCUUGAUUUAAUAAGUGGAUACUUUUUUUUACCCAAGGAAAAAGGGCUAAGUAGACACUUUUUAUGAUCCGGAGGGAGUAUGAGAAAAUCAAGACCAGGCUGAUCUAUCUCAGAUUGAUUAUUCAGAUUCUCUGAUAUACUUUUCGGUGUUGAUUAUUAUCUUUCAUUUUUUAUCUGAACAAAGAAAUUCUCAAGCCGGUUCCUAACCCAAGAGUUUUUUCGGGCGGCUAAAUGGGAAAAUAUUGAGUGCUUGGGUAGCAAAAGAUGGAGAUGAAAAUCAGCUUGGAUAGUGGAAGCCCAAGCAGAGGCUGUGUUAUUUGCUGGAAAUCACUGCAUGCAAAUUGUCUCCGGCUUAAUUUAUACCCAAGUUGGAUUUAAGGGAGGGAUUUUUAAACAUCCUGAGAUAAAAUCGAACAUAUACUGCCAAAAAAUAUGGAUUUGCUUGGGCCAAAAAAAGACCUGUUCCCGGAUCAUAUGAUUUUGCAUCCUAAAGAGGAUCGUGUAUGAAUAACCUUCUAAAGAAAGGUAUCCAACAUUGCAGCAGAUUCCAGAGAAACUAAAGGGAAACAAGGAAAACGGUGUAGGGAGGAGAAUGUGUCUGAGCUAUUGCUUUGCUUGGAAUUUUGAGGAGGGAGACGAGCUCACAUUAGUCCAAGGUGUUGUACAGAGAGCUUAUGAAUAUAGCAUAAUUCAAUUAAUCAAACGGACGCUUAAUUUUGUAAAUUCUGUUUAAUUCUUUUUCAUGUCGUUAAAUCUUCUUCAUGUCCUUUUGUAUUAUAACAUCUUUGUGUUGUUGAAUUGAACUGCUUAACUCCUAUCAAGUGACUUGUGGCUGAAAUAACCAAGUAGCUACCUUUGUGUUUUUUGUUCAUUGGUUCUGUAUUUUCCUGUAAUAACAUGAAAUUUACAGAUAGCAUGAUGUUUACUCAA